UUCAGCUGUUUGUAUCCGGGGUCCUGCUCUGUCUUAUGAACAAAGGAGAGGAUCAGAAAGAAAAUGCAUUGGUUAAUCAGGAGGUCUGACUACUGGAUAAUUUUUUCCAUCGCCACACCUGACAGGAGCUGCUCAUUAUUACAGAAAAAUCCUCACUCCAUCAAUGCAUAUCAUCCACCGUCUCUACCCAUCAGCCAAUGCUCUCCCUACACCAAUUCCUCAUCUUGAGGAUCUGAACCUGGACAAAUCCCUCCAUCCACUUCUUAAGCUUGUCCCACCUAAUUGCAUCUCAUCCUCUCCACACCUUCGCAGUCUCACACAUCCUUUCCACGCCUAGACCUGCAGGACAACUCCUCUCUCCCUUUGCCUUAUCUUAAGGGGGGAAGACUUCUCUAAUCCUAAUCCUAAAAUGAAAAUCCAAGAUCAUAGCCAUUUGCAACUUUCACGUCUUCUGCCGGGGUCUGAGCACCAAAGAACGUUCACCGAUUUCUGC